CAAGAGAUAGUUUAAUGAAAACCAGUAACUUUGGGAGUUACAGAUGUAACUGCAAAUCUUAAUCUUUUGA
rnacentral:tRNA from 1 species